GCAGGGGCUCGUGAGGCUGGGCUUGCUGUGUGCCAGGGAGCAGUGCAGUCACCCAGGUCCCACUGCUGUCCUGCUCCCUGCAUGGCAAUGAGUGUGUGUGCUUUCCUGGGGAGCUGGGUGCACAGUGGGCUCCUGAGGUUAUUCAUGGCACAGAAUUCCCUGGGAGAAUGUGCUAAUUCGAAUGUUCCUCUCACAGUAUGUAGAAGCUGGAGUCAGUGCUGGGAAAUAUAAAACUUGUGACACGCUGUGAUAAUGGGGGCAUUUAACACAGACCAUUGAGAAAUCAUCACCAGGGGAAUCAAACAAGAAAAACUUAUGAGCAAAUGUGUCUAGUAGAGUCAGCUGCACUGCAGAGAGCCCUGAUGCCUCAGAUUGCUUUCUUUGGGCUUUGGAUUCCAGAAGUGAUGGAACAAUUCCACAGAAAGGGAAGGGUGUACGAGAGAAAAAAAAUUAAAAUCUGCAUUUCAUAUACAAAUUAUUUAAUCCAAACCCACCAAUUAUUACACCAUGGUGUUUGAAAUAAGAUCCUUUGGAGCAUCCUCUGCUAUUUAUCACAAAAACAGCUGCAGAGCUGAAACAUGAGAUGUACAAGGCAAAAUGAAUAAAGAUUGUCAUCCUUUCUGGUUUGUCUCUUCCUGCGGGAUUUCUGAGGUUCCCUUGCAGAGAUACCAAUCUUGUGUGAUUACAAUUCUGACCUCUGACAAACAAGCCAACAGAACUGCACAGGUUAAUGCUACCUUUGAGCCUCUCAAACCAGAACAAAGCCAGCAGUGGAUUGCAGCAACUGAAACUGAUCUGAAAACGGUGGGAGGCUCUGGCCCUUUGCUCAGCAGCAGCUUUUUCACGGAACGGAAGAAAAACAACCAGGAAAUAGUUCUCACAAAAACAUGCUUUUUAAUAAAAAAAGAGAAUAAUGUUUAUUGAGAGGGAUUGUUUUGUGGAUAUGUACAAUACCAAUGCAGGAGAAUUAUGCUAACAGAAAACGCCAAACAUCGUGGAUUGACUUCCAAAGUGUGGAGAGUCCUCAGAGCAAGUAAGUCAACAGGAACAAGUGAACAUUGGUUUUGGGUUUUUUUUUACAACAAAUUACCAGCCAUUAUGACUGAAGACCUGACAUGUAAUAACCUGCAGUGAGAUGUACAGAAAUCCGUAAGACGACACAGAAUUCACACAGGAAGGUAACUGUUUGUGUAAGAAUUUCCUCCAGAAAAUGGAAGCGGUUCCAGACAGUUUUGGGAAAAGACAAAUAGAAAAAAAAAGGUGAAAAAAAGUGCAGGAAAGUACUAACACUGGAUAUCCUCAGAUCACAGUGAAUGCCAGUCUUCCUGGAUCCGAUUGCUAACUGUUACCUUUAUCUUCACCACUUCUGCUUACCCUCAAUUAAUUGUUUUAUCAUCAUGAUGUAAGAAAAAUAACGUUUACGUGAGCCUUCUCCUGCUAUUUCCUUUUUUACUGCAGCUCUUGUCAACUUGUAGUUUACACAAGAAGUGAAAAAUUCUACAUGCCCUCAGGUGACAGACACAUGCACCUUCCCAGCCUGAGCAGUACUCAUCACAGCUGAUCAUUUCAGUACUAGGUAAUGCUGCACAAAUCACACAAACCAUGUCAGAGCAAACACUAAUUCUGGAGGAGGGGGAGAAUAUGGAGAUUAAUAACUGCCACCAGUUAAGUUUCCCACAUGUUGGAGUGCUUUGAAGCAAUUUCUCCCACUGACUGCAUUUGGGAUUUAUUUUUUGUUCUUACUCAGAAACAAUGUAGGGUACUGGGAAGAGGUAAGAGGUUGAUUUUAUGCAUCACUUCCCAGAAAAGCAGCAAUAUAAAAAUCAAGACCACAUUUUUCUUUCAAUUUUUACCUCCACUUAGCUUUCUUUUUAAGCAAUAUGUGACUCAGCUCAGUCUGGGCUGUGCACCCCCGACUGCCAGGUACAAUCCCCUGCGAGGCUUUGCUCUAAUAACCCUUACAAACAUUUCUUCUGUCUCAACUUUCACUUAAAGGUUAAAGCCUUUGUCUCACCCCAAAGCAGGCAGGGGAUGUCACUGCUAAUAACCUGGUCUGGGGAUGUGAGAGGGAGAUCCUGUGCUCCCAGCAUUCAGGUUAGCAUACUCCCAAAAGAAUUGCUUCACUUCUCAGAAGGGAGAACAGUUUCCAUGGGCUAAUCCACAAAGUCAAAGAAAAAACCCAUGAUUUCUCCAUUUUAUCCUCAGUGGGACACACAUUUCUCUCUCAGCAGUGUGCUCUCUGCAGUAUCUCCUGCUAAAAUAAAUGGUGGUUCCCUAAGCAGUCAUUUUUGCAUCUUCAGGCUUUCUCCCAUUUCCCCAGCUUCCUUCUGUUACAUAUAUCCUGUUCCAUAAACAUACCCAUGAGAGGACCAUAUCGUUUUAAUCUUAUUUUGGAAAUUACUCCAGAGUUUCAGCUGAUUUGCUGGCUUCUGUGCUUGAAGGAGUUUACAUCUCCCUCUGGUUCACUACAUCUGUGGGGUUUAGCUUUUGUAGCAUUUAAGCUUUGACCUCAGGACAAGUGCAGUGGCCAAAACCAACUCCAUACUCAGCUGAAGAGCUGCAGCUAGCGAGACUGCCACGACUUAUUUGUCAGCAUGUAGCUCUGACAGCUUUGUUAGUGUGGGAUAAGCUUCACCCCAGCUGGACAGGCCUGAGUGAUGGAGCAGACACAAAGGCUUUGGAGGACAGAGGUUUGUAAGUUGCAUAUUUUGGUAUUUUGGAAGGAGGAAUUUGAAGAAAACUGCCCUUAAAUCCACUCCUUUUCUUCUGGAUUCUAGGAAUUCUCCUUUAGACAAAUUAAAAACCAGUGGAAAAGAAUUAUAAUGUUGGAAUCAUUACAAACAGGUGAAAAGGGGCUAAGAUUUGGGUGUUUUAAUCCAGGCAACAAUUAGCUCUAAUUCUAUGCAUGUCAACAGCUACUGGCACCUGAGUAAGAUAAAACAACAGAAACCGCUCUAAUUCUGGUUAAAUGCGUUCAGAGAACUCUUGUGAAUAGUCUACACAGUAGCAGUUUAGUACCAAUUUAGAUAAUCACAGUCUGUAUUGGUAAGAAAUACUACUGAGAAAUUUGUUGACUGUGCUCCUUUAAAAUUCAGGUAAUUUUUAAGCCACAUCUUGAAUUUUUUGCUCAUGCUUUUAUGAAUUAUAAAAACUAGAUGGAACAUCUUGUAGGAGUUGCAGGAAUUGGCUUCUGACUAUUGAGGUGCCCACGUCUAAUAUGCAUCUAUAAACAUUGCCUGGAGGGAAAUAGAAGAGAACAUGAAGCAAGGGUGUAUGAAAGUUGAGAUAAUAUUGAGUUAAAAAUGGAAAUUCACCAUCCUCCCUGAUUGUACCUUAAGAACAGAGCCAUCAAAAUUUCCCAAAGAGAAUUCUUACUCUUGUAAGAAUUUACUGCUUAGUGAGACUUUAUCUAUUUGACUGAAAUUCCAACUGGAAAAUACAUUAGAAGUAUUUAAAUAUUUCUAAUAGCUUGGAAAGAGUUUGAAAGUUUUCAAUCCUAUUCAGUACCAAACUAAAUUUUAAAUUCCAUCUGGGGAAUAACAACAUAAUGUUUUAGAUUAUUCAAAUCAAACCAGUGCUAAAGAGAUAAAAUGGGAACUUUCAAUUUCCUCCCUGUUAAAGGUGUUCUUAGUUCAGUGGAGACAUAUUCCUGAUCACAUCUUUUUUUUUCUUCUCAAAAGUGAAGGCUGUAAUUAAAAAAGAAAACCAGAAAACCAGCACUGAAGCAAAUCUAUAAAGCUGAGUACUGUGGAGUUGGACAAAAUGACCUUCUGAAGUUAAAGAGAAGCCGAAAUAGCCAAUAAUUGAAAUGUCACAAAAGGAACUGGCUGCUGAGAAAAAGCAAAUAUUUGAAGAUGAGAAAUAUUUAACAAGUCACUGGAUUAAUUUCUCUGCCAAGUUCAUCAGAACCAAAUACAUUUUUAUUUGAUGUCAGGGACAUCAGGUACAAUCUGACUAACCUUAUGGGCAUAAAACAACCCCAGAGGCAGUUUUAAUGCAGAACAUGCAGAAUGCAGAACAGUUUAAAGCAGAAAGAAAGAAUGCCAGUGAACAUAUAUUUUUCAGCGAGGUAGAUCCACCUUGGUAUUGAAGACAAAGAAUUGCAUUUUAUGAAAGAAAGUUAUAAUUGUAUGAAUAACUGCUUGUGCUUCCGUCUUUUACUGCUUGCUCUGAAGGAGCUGCUGUGGCAGCAGAAUCCAGCUCUUUUAUUAGAAGCUAAAUAUGAGAUACUCCUGUCACUUGACAUAUGUAAGAUUUAUGUCCCUUGAGGGAACUGUUCUGAGUUUUGCUCUUCUACUUCACUGGUUUCUCACCAUCUUUACUCCAUGGAAAUAUCACAGUGAUUAGCCAACAGUCGCAAAUUGUAAUUAAAUUGAGAUUUCAAGGUGAUUCCUGAUUUGUUUUCUUGAUCUCCAUCCUAGUUGCACAGGCUUAGCAAAAGCAGAUACUCUCAUGUUUUCAGUCAACUGAUUUGACUGCAACAAAUUGUGCACUCAAAUUCAAAAGUCUGGGUCUUAGAGGGAUGUAAUUUCAGUGGGGGGAAAAAAAAAUAAAAAAAAUCCUGGGAAAAGGUCUCCAGAGCAGAGUCUGUCUAUGCAUGCUUUGAAAUGAUUAAGAAUUCCAGUUCUUCCUGCCGACACAGUGGGAAUGAAGCUGCUUAAUGGCAAGUGGCCAGUGUCCUGGGGGGGACAGACGGACAGACAGACAGCUCCUGCUGCCCGGUCAGUGAAGCACGGGCUGCACCCCUCACCACUGACCAAGGCCCUGCUUGGUCACUCCCUGGGGCUGCUGGUGCUGUCACCACCCACACUGGGACAGGGGGAACCCUCAGCUGCUGUCAUUUUUGUGAAUAUCUGCAAGCUUCACCUUCAGUGCCUCUUUCACUGGAGUAACCUGCGGAAUUGAGUUACACUGACGACAGCAAAACCUCAGCCAUACAUUCCAGUUCAGGCUCAAUUUUACCUUUGUGGGCACUACUUUUAAAAAGAAGCAUAAACAAGCUAUUAAUAAUACUAAUGACAGUGUCUGUUCCAGUACAAGAUGAUUUGGAUAUGUUUACGGUAGCCCAUGAUUUAAUUUACACACAUCUGAGCUGGGGAGAUUUACAGCAGGAACAGUAGAUCAUCUCCAUGUACAUCUUUAUUUGGACAGUCCCUAUAUUAUUGUUAUAUGGAUAAAAUUAAUCUUUUAAAGAACUAUAUAAAGCCUGGCCUAAGCUUGUCCCUUAAGCACUCAACACAUGAUAUUUUAAUGACUGAAAGGGGGAAAAAAAAAUAAACAAUUUGCGUAAUUCAGUACUGUAGCAAAUGACUGCACUGACAAGGUCACCACGCUAAACUGACAUCAUCCACACCAUAUCCAACUUUGAAAAAUCCUCCAAUAUUUGCAUGUAAAGUGUCAGACUCCUAAGGGUAUUUUUUUUUCUUUUCUGCUUGUUUAAUAAGAAAUUUAAUAUUUUAAAUUAGGACUUUUAAUUUGCAGGACAAAAAGCUUAACUGGUCUGUUGAGCUUUUUUCGGCUACCUGUAAAAAACGCUAUUUUUUCCUCUACUACAUAUAAAUUUUAUUUCCAAAGGUAACUGUCAUUGACUCAGAUAACCAGCAGUUUCUUUUGUGAUUAGAAGCUAAUAAUGUUGUUAUUUACAGUAUAAGUGAUCAAUAGUUUUUAUUCUGGAUCAGUGUCAAAGCUCUAAAAUUGAUAUUAAAUAUAAGAGAGAUACUGUAACCAAAGCAAACACUAAAAAGAUCUUCAGAAAGUAUAUACUAUAUUGGGAGAUUAUUAAAAUUCCCGAUACUGGCUAAAAUGUUUAAUGUGCUGAAUACAAAUGGUAUUUUAAAGAAAGAUCUGUGGAUCAAAGAUGGAUUUAAUAAUCAUAAUGUUUAGGAAUUUGUUUUGAAAAUAUUUUUAAUUGGAUAAUGUCAGACUUCUGAAUUACAAUGCUACUUUCAUUAGCAUUUCAAUAAGUUGUACUAUCAACUCCUUUUGACAUAAAAGAAUUUGAUUCAUUUUUAAAAUCAUGAAUCUCAUAAUCUUUUUUUUUUGUUGCCACUAGUUUUCAAUAAUUGUAUUAUCUUCUACAAGAAGAGCAACAGGAACCACAUGGGCUUUGCUGGUAAUGAUGGUCUAUAAAUCUCUUCUCUGAAAGCAGCUCUGCUGCCUUUGAAAGUAAUUUGCAGUUUCUUAUCAACACAGAAUUAAAAAGUAAUAUUGUCUAAUUUGUUAUGUUCAGUGGCACAGAGUAUUGUAGAAUUCCAUCACAUACAAAUAGCUUUGAAACCUAUAUAAUGUGACCAUAAUGAAGAGUACAUAAGUGAAUUUCAAAAUUUAUGAAAGUGUUUAUUAUUAGCCAAGAAAAAUCUCAAAAGCUGAACUUGUCAAUAGGUUUAAUAGUCUCUUAGCAAGAUGUGUAUUUCGCACACUCAAACCUCAGUGCAGUUUAUAAAACAGUAAUUUGUAAUUUAUAGUUGUAUUGCAAAUAACCAAUCUGGACAUUUCAGAGCAGGUCAGGGCAUAACUGUGUAAGUCUCAUAGUAAAUCCAUACAUUCAACAUGAUGAACUCCUUGCUUGCAGAAGUUGUCUUCUACUUCCAAUAGGAAUAAAAACUGAUUACUGUUGAUCACUUAGAUGUAACUGCUUGUAACAGUCAACAAGCCAUCACAGUAAGGUAUAAAGACAGCCCUUAGGAGAAAUGCUGCCUAUCUGAUGACAUUUAAAGCUUUAAAGAAUUCCUUCUAGAUACUGCAGGAAAUCAUCAUGAGCCAGUGCAGGCUGCCAAUGUCACUGAGGGAGAACCAAGCGAUUAAAUCAUGUAUACUGGUAACAUUGCCAUCCAAACCAUUAAAUUACUUUAUGCAGCUGGUCUUGCAAACAGUUCAUCCUGCCAGCAAUGCCAAGGUCUGUGGUAGAAACUACCAGGGUGAGAAAAGCCUAUCACAUGGGUACACGUGCAUGAUGCUGCCUUGCAAUUGGAUCAACCAUCCUUUUGUGUUGAUUUUAGCGGUUCUAAGAAAUAAAACACAGUUUAAAUGAU